GACGAACGCUGGCGGCGUGCUUAACACAUGCAAGUCGAACGAAAAGAGGGAAAGAGCUUGCUCUUUCCGGAAUUGAGUGGCAAACGGGUGAGUAACACGUAAACAACCUGCCUUCAGGAUGGGGACAACAGACGGAAACGACUGCUAAUACCGAAUAAGUUCCAAGAGCCGCAUGGCCCAUGGAAGAAAAUGUGGCCCCUACCUGUAAGCUAUCGCCUGAAGAGGGGUUUGCGUCUGAUUAGCUGGUUGGGGGGGUAACGGCCCACCAAGGCGACGAUCAGUAGCCGGACUGAGAGGAUGAACGGCCACACUGGGACUGAGACACGGGCCAGACUCCUACGGGAGGGAGCAGUGGGGAAUCUUCCGCAAAGGGCGGAAGCCUGACGGAGCAACGCCGCGUGAGGGAUGACGGCCUUCGGGUUGUAAAACUCUGUGAUCCGGGACGAAAAGGCAGAGUGCGAAGAACAAACUGCAUUGACGGUACCGGAAAAGCAAGCCACGGCUAACUACGUG
rnacentral:rRNA from 1 species